rnacentral:rRNA from 1 species
CACAGAGUUAGCCGGUGCUUAUUCUGUCGGUAACGUCAAGACAGCAAGGUAUUCGCUGACUGCCCUUCCUCCCAACUUAAAGUGCUUUACAAUCCGAAGACCUUCUUCACACACGCGGCAUGGCUGGAUCAGGCUUUCGCCCAUUGUCCAAUAUUCCCCACUGCUGCCUCCCGUAGGAGUCUGGACCGUGUCUCAGUUCCAGUGUGACUGAUCAUCCUCUCAGACCAGUUACGGAUCGUCGCCUUGGUGAGCCAUUACCUCACCAACUAGCUAAUCCGACCUAGGCUCAUCUGAUAGCGCAAGGCCCGAAGGUCCCCUGCUUUCUCCCGUAGGACGUAUGCGGUAUUAGCGUUCCUUUCGAAACGUUGUCCCCCACUACCAGGCAGAUUCCUAGGCAUUACUCACCCGUCCGCCGCUGAAUCAGGAAGCAAGCUUCCUUCAACCGCUCGACUUGCAUGUGUUAGGCCUGCCGCCAGCGUUCAAU